rnacentral:rRNA from 1 species
CCUACGGGUGACAGCAGUGGGGAAUAUUGGGCAAUGGAGGAAACUCUGACCCAGCAACGCCGCGUGAAUGAUGCAGGUCUUCGGAUUGUAAAGUUCUUUUCUAAGGGAAGAAGAAAGUGACGGUACCUUAGGAAUAAGCCUCGGCUAACGACGUGCCAGCAGCCGCGGUAAUACGUAGGCGGCAAGCGUUAUCCGGAAUGCCUGGGCGUAAAGGGUGCGUAGGUGGUUUGACAAGUUGGUAGCGUAACUCCGAGGCUUAACCUCGGCACUACUACCAAAACUGUUGGACUCGAGUGCAGGAGGGGCAAAUGGAAUUACUAGUGUAGCGGUGGAAUGCGUAGAGAUUAGGAGGAACACCAGUGGCGAUGGCGAUUUGCUGGACUGUAACUGACACUGAGGCACGAAUUCGUGGGGAGCAAACAGGAUUAGAUACCCUUGUAGUC